CGUCUGUAGCAAUACAGAUGGCGCACGGCGCACGGGUGCGUAACACGUGGGUAAUCUGCCCUUCGAAGGGGAAUAACUCGCCGAAAGGCGAGCUAAUUCCGCAUAACAUUCCGAGAACCUUGGUUUCUGGAUUCAAAGGCGUAAGUCGUCGGAGGAGGAGCCCGCGCACGA
rnacentral:rRNA from 1 species